CGCAAUGCUAGGAUGACUUGCUAUAUUUUUCUCUUCACUAAAAUCCCAUACGAGAUUUGGCUGGGAUUUCAGUAGGUUUUGCCAAUUCAACAGUAUGCUUGGAACAAAGCAAGGAAAUAAGAUUUGCUGGAGCCCAGUAAAUAAACAACUCUCUGACAACAGGAGGAAGUAUCACACUUGAACAAAUGUGGCACCUGAGGCACACUGAGUGCAGCCAAAAAGACAGCAUGACACCCUACCAAAGGAUGUUCAAGAUGGACUUAAUGGAGGAACAGCCUUCAAGCAGGAACAAGAAGUGACAUUUUAUCUUCAAGGAAGACUUGAAAAUAGAGAAAUGGUAACAGUAGACUGGAAAAAAGGUGACCAAUACCAUAUACAUUGUGAGAGGCAAGUACUGUUCCCGUUCACAGCAGAAAUCAAGGGGAUGGCAUAACUGUAAACAAUGGUAGAGGAAGAAUACGGGCAACCAUGAUGUCACCUCCAAGAAUCAAAUCCACCCUACUCUUCUCCACAAAGAGUGCUAUGACACAUCUGUUAUUGUUACACCUGAGCAGUUUGCGUGUAAAUUACAUGGUCACAACGUUUGCAGGAAAUACUGCAAAAAUAAAAAUAUUUGGGGUCUCAUUACUCACCACACAUAAAGGUCAAAGCAACUUAACCACCAACAGUGCUUGUAUUCCAGCACAGUCCUAGGACCACUCAAGUGGAUACCCUGUUAUUCUCAGUUAUGCUGUAUUCAGAGGCUCUCAUAUUAGCAUGAAAAAUGAGGAAUAAUGAUUUUAACAGUACUUUGAUAAUUCACUUUGUUGAAUCGAACCUAAUCUCAUCCUAUUAUAACUUCUUCAGGUCCACCAGUGAUCGUGUCCUGAAAGGAGCUGAACAACUUCAAGUUACAUGAAAGCCAAACUGAACUGAAAACACACCUGCUCAUAAAAUUAAUCUAGCAUGAGGAUCCAGGGGGAAAAAAACAAAAAAGCAGCUCUUGAGGUGAUACUCUUGUCCCAAAAGCAGGUCCAUCACCCGGUGUUGCAAGAAGCCUAUGUUUAUGUGUAUUUAUACUACAGAAAACUAAAGUAGUGCAGAGAUAAAUAAAGUCAGGAAAAGCAUUAUCUUCUGACUUAUUUCCAAUUUUCAUACCUUUACACCCAUAAAACUUCAUAAAUACUGCAUAUACAAAAUGCAAUGAAUACUAUUUGAAGAUUGUAGGAUCACAUUUUUGAAAGCACAAGCGAAGGACAAGAGAACACCUUUAAUAGUUAUGUUAUGAAAAAUAUAUAAAGGCAUCUUAAUACUUUUAUGUUUUCCUGUCCUAGCCAUUGUUUUCCUUGACAGUUUCGCUCAUUACUCGUUUGCUAUUGUUUGUUUU